GAUGAACGCUGGCGGCGUGCCUAAUACAUGCAAGUCGAACGCGAGCACUUGUGCUCGAGUGGCGAACGGGUGAGUAAUACAUAAGUAACCUGCCCUAGACAGGGGGAUAACUAUUGGAAACGAUAGCUAAGACCGCAUAGGUACGGACACUGCAUGGUGACCGUAUUAAAAGUGCCUCAAAGCACUGGUAGAGGAUGGACUUAUGGCGCAUUAGCUGGUUGGCGGGGUAACGGCCCACCAAGGCGACGAUGCGUAGCCGACCUGAGAGGGUGACCGGCCACACUGGGACUGAGACACGGCCCAGACUCCUACGGGAGGCAGCAGUAGGGAAUUUUCGGCAAUGGGGGAAACCCUGACCGAGCAACGCCGCGUGAAGGAAGAAGGUUUUCGGAUUGUAAACUUCUGUUAUAAAGGAAGAACGGCGGCUACAGGAAAUGGUAGCCGAGUGACGGUACU
rnacentral:rRNA from 1 species